GACGAACGCUGGCGGCGUGCCUAAUACAUGCAAGUAGGACGCAGUUGCGAACGGGUGAGUAACGCGUAGGUAACUGCCUCUUAGAGGGGGAUAACUAUUGGAAACGAUAGCUAAUACCGCAUACUAGUAGAUGGACCUCCGUUGUAUUAGCUAGUAAGAAGGGUUAUUGCCUACUUAGGCGAUGAUCCAUAGCCGAACUGAGAGGGUGAUCGGCCACACGGGGCCUGAGAGAAGUGCCAGACUCCUACGGAAGGAAGCAGUAGGGAAUCUUCGGAAAUUGGGGGAACCCUGACCGAGCAACGCCGCGGGAGUGAAGAAGGUUUUCGGAUCGUAAAGCUCUGUUGUUAAGGAAGCGGUACUUAACCAGAAAGGGACGGCUAACUACGUGCCAGCAGCCGCGGUAAUUC
rnacentral:rRNA from 1 species